UACUCACGGUAUCCAGAAAUUUGGAGUUCUGAUGUGUGUCUGUGUGUGCGUCUUUUUUAGCUGGUUCUGUCUUACAUGGAUGGAACCAUCUUCUUGCUACCAUCUGUGGGAACUAAAAGGGGUAUGGGGAAGAAGAGGGGAGGGAGGAUAGCCCACAUCCGGCCAGAGUUCCUCCUGUGCUCUGGGCAGGCAGAUGUGGGAAGAAUGCCGGAGGCUUUCCACUCAGUCCUAGGUGGGAUUUAAGCCACUGACCCCACUCGAGGAGGUAUGGACAAGGGGCAGCCCCCAAUACCAGGGGCUCCGGAGAGAGGUUCCCACACAGGCAAGAGCAGGCGAUAUCUUGGGUAACCUGUACAUCUUUAGAAUUCCAGAUUUACACCUCAUUUCCACAGUCAAUGUAUUGCCAUGUGAUAUUGAUGAAAUCUACUGCUCUCCUCAGAAGAAAUGGGUCUUACUGAGUAAGAAACAGCCAUAUAUUUUGCCAAAGGUGUUUUACAUGAGCAGCCUACUGAGGACAUCAGAAUUCUCUGCCCCUGUGUCUACCCUUCUGGAAAUUUCCUUAUGUCAAGAAGCCUUCUGGACCCCAAGAAGGGAAGACAGGCUAACCCUGAUGUCCAGAAGUGGUUGCUCCAAAAUCACAAAGUUUGAAACAUAUGAUAUGAAGCUGGAAGAGUUUGGGAACAAAAUUAUUGUUAAAGCUUCAUUAACAAAACGCUAUGUGAUGAUGUGAGCAUAAUUCAGUUGAUGAUAGAUGGUCAUGACACCUGGUUUCUGAUGGCAUAUGCCUUGAAUAUCUGCUCUUGAAAACUUAGCAGUUUGUGUGUCCUCUUCCUCAAUGAUAAUAAAGGUCUAUUUGCAAGCCCAG
rnacentral:lncRNA from 1 species